GGAAAAAUUGUCAUGGGUAAGACAGAAUACUUGCUAGGUAUUUCCCACAUCACGGGCUAAGGGUUCAAAUCCCUUUUUUUCCG
rnacentral:tRNA from 1 species